UACGUAGGGGGCGAGCGUUGUCCGGAUUUACUGGGCGUAAAGCGCGUGUAGGCGGCGGAAUAAGUCCGUUGUGAAAGCCCUGGGCUCAACCUGGGAAUUGCAGUGGAUACUGGCGAGCUAGAGGAAGCUAGAGGUGAGCGGAACUGAUGGUGGAGCGGUGAAAUGCGUUGAUAUCAUCAGGAACACCGGAGGCGAAGGCGGCUCACUGGGGCUUUUCUGACGCUGAGGAACGAAAGCCAGGGUAGCGAACGGG
rnacentral:rRNA from 1 species